UACGAAGGGGGCUAGCGUUGUUCGGAAUCACUGGGCGUAAAGGGCGCGUAGGCGGCUUUAUAAGUCGGGGGUGAAAGCCUGUGGCUCAACCACAGAAUUGCCUUCGAUACUGUAGAGCUUGAGACCGGAAGAGGUAAGUGGAACUGCGAGUGUAGAGGUAAAAUUCGUAGAUAUUCGCAAGAACACCAGUGGCGAAGGCGGCUUACUGGUCCGGUUCUGACGCUGAGGCGCGAAAGCGUGGGGAGCAAACAGG
rnacentral:rRNA from 1 species